GAUGAACGCUAGCGGCAGGCUUAACACAUGCAAGUCGAGGGGUAUAGGUUUUCGGACCUAGAGACCGGCGCACGGGUGCGUAACGCGUAUGCAAUCUACCUUUCACAGAGGGAUAGCCCAGAGAAAUUUGGAUUAAUACCUCAUAGUAUAGCAGUUUCGCAUGAAACCACUAUUAAAGUCCCAACGGUGAAAGAUGAGCACGCGUCCCAUUAGCUAGAUGGUAAGGUAACGGCUUACCAUGGCUACGAUGGGUAGGGGUCCUGAGAGGGAGAUCCCCACACUGGUACUGAGACACGGACCAGACUCCUACGGGAGGCAGCAGUGAGGAAUAUUGGUCAAUGGACGCAAGUCUGAACCAGCCAUGCCGCGUGCAGGAUGACGGUCCUAUGGAUUGUAAACUGCUUUUGUACGAGAAGAAACAACAUUACGUGUAAUGUCUUGACGGUAUCGUAAGAAUAAGGAUCGGCUAACUCCGUGCCAGCAGCCGCCGUAAUAC
rnacentral:rRNA from 1 species